rnacentral:rRNA from 1 species
UAGUGCGUCUCUAUCCGUGCGAGUCGACGGCAGCACAGGAGAGCUUGCUCUCUGAGUGCCGAGUGGCGGACGGGUGAGGAUACAUCGGAAUCUACCUUUUCGUGGGGGAUAACGUAGGGAAACUUACGCUAAUACCGCAUACGACCUUCGGGACAAAGCAGGGGACCUUCGGGCCUUGUCCGGAUAGAUGAGCCGAUGUCGGAUUAGCUAGUUGGGGGGAAAAAGCCCCACCGGGGCGACGAUCCGUAGCUGGUCUGAGAGGAUGAUCCCCCCCUCUGGACCUGACCCAUUAUUCUAAAAUAAA